AACAGGAUUAGAUACCCUGGUAGUCCACGCUGUAAACGAUGUCGACUUGGAGGUUGUGCCCUUGAGGCGUGGCUUCCGGAGCUAACGCGUUAAGUCGACCGCCUGGGGAGUACGGCCGCAAGGUUAAAACUCAAAUGAAUUGACGGGGGCCCGCACAAGCGGUGGAGCAUGUGGUUUAAUUCGAUGCAACGCGAAGAACCUUACCUACUCUUGACAUCCACAGAACUUAGCAGAGAUGCUUCGGUGCCUUCGGGAACUGUGAGACAGGUGCUGCAUGGCUGUCGUCAGCUCGUGUUGUGAAAUGUUGGGUUAAGUCCCGCAACGAGCGCAACCCUUAUCCUUUGUUGCCAGCACGUAAUGGUGGGAACUCAAGGGAGACUGCCGGUGACAAACCGGAGGAAGGUGGGGAUGACGUCAAGUCAUCAUGGCCCUUACGAGUAGGGCUACACACGUGCUACAAUGGCAGAUACAAAGUGAAGCGAACUCGCGAGAGUCAGCGGACCACAUAAAGUCUGUCGUAGUCCGGAUUGGAGUCUGCAACUCGACUCCAUGAAGUCGGAAUCGCUAGUAAUCGUAGAUCAGAAUGCUACGGUGAAUACGUUCCCGGGCCUUGUACACACCGCCCGUCACACCAUGGGAGUGGGUUGCAAAAGAAGUAGGUAGCUUAACCUUCGGGAGGGCGCUUACCACUUUGUGAUUCAUGACUGGGGGUGAAGUCGUAACAAGGUAACC
rnacentral:rRNA from 1 species